rnacentral:rRNA from 1 species
CGUAGGGUGCGAGCGUUAAUCGGAAUUACUGGGCGUAAAGCGUGCGCAGGCGGUUUAGUAAGACAGGCGUGAAAUCCCCGGGCUCAACCUGGGAACUGCGCUUGUGACUGCUAAGCUAGAGUACGGCAGAGGGGGGUGGAAUUCCACGUGUAGCAGUGAAAUGCGUAGAGAUGUGGAGGAACACCAAUGGCGAAGGCAGCCCCCUGGGUCGAUACUGACGCUCAUGCACGAAAGCGUGGGUAGCAAACAGGAUUAGAUACCCUGGUAGUCCACGCCCUAAACGAUGUCAACUAGGUGUUGGGAGGUAAACCUUUUAGUACCGGAGCUAACGCGUGAAGUUGACCGCUGGGGAUACGGCCGACAAGGUUA